UACGGGGGGGGGCAAGCGUUGUUCGGAAUUACUGGGCGUAAAGGGCUCGUAGGUGGCCAACUAAGUCAGACGUGAAAUCCCCAGGCUUAACCUGGGAACUGCGUCUGAUACUGGAUGGCUUGAAUUCGGGAGAGGGAUGCAGAAUUCCAGGUGUAGCGGUGAAAUGCGUAGAUAUCUGGAGGAAUACCGGUGGCGAAGGCGGCAUCCUGGACCGAGAUUGACACUGAGGAGCGAAAGCCAGGGGAGCAAACGGG
rnacentral:rRNA from 1 species